rnacentral:lncRNA from 1 species
CCGAUGGCCACGGUUCCUCCAGUUACCCAACAACAUGACCUGUGCACUCGAGCUCCAGAACACUGCUUCACGGUUGACCAGAAGGGAUGCUUGGACCAAAAUAUUCACUCAAACAGUGUCAGAGGACAAGACAAGCAACCAAGUGCUGGCUGAGGGGAGAUUCCCGAGAAUCAGCAGGCAGAACACGCCAGCCCUCUGUAUCCGAGCGGACACAGGAAAGAAGGUUUCAUGAAUAGUUUGGGCACACAUGUCCUUAUGUUCCUGAAAAGUUAUCUUUUUUCCCUCCAUGCUUAUUUUCAGCUGUAAUUGGUGCAGGGAUUUGCAUAUCGUAUCUUAUGGAGGAUUUCCUAGAUUAUUUCUUUUUUCACAAUGAAGCCUGGGAAUGUGGUGAAGGUGGAGGGUUGGGUAGGAUUGGAGAAGCUUCUGGAAGAGCUCAGCCCUUCUUUUGGGUCCCUGACAUCUUCAUGGUGCAUAGCAGCCAUGACCUGGCUUAGGAUGUGGUCCAGCCACUGAGACCAGCAUCCUUCUUACAGGGGAGUACGUGCACCUGCUGGUGAGUAUUUGAAACAGCAUCUCAAGCAGGGACAAAUAAUCAGAUCCUUUGUUCUGGUGGAGUCUCUGAUCCUGGGUCUAAUCCCAUGAGUCACGCUUACUCGGAUUUUUGUCUUGGAGGAGACCCUACAAAGUGCGAUGAAUGACAUGAGAAGGAUUGUAGACCCACUGAAGGCAAGAAGAGGGGCCCAAAUCCCACAGAAACAAAAAUGCACUGAGUCUCUGUUAUUAAAGAUAGCUGCUGAAUCCUUAAUCCAGAAUCCUUAAGUCAUGCCGGAGAAUGUCGUUUCAGAAGGAAGCUGGGCGUUCCCAUCAUUAUUCCCCAGAAUGAGGCAAAGCUUUAAAUUUCUCAGAGUAAGCUAGUUGGUUAAAGCUGAUGAGUCAGAAAACACAAAAGCCCCUUCAUCACGAGCGCCCUUCACCCCGGAAAGGCACCGAAGCACCAAAACAAACAAACAAAACCAAAAAAACCCAAAAACAGAAAAUGAAACAAAAGAAACCAAACCCCACAAAACUAAAAACACCGAUAAACAAAACCUAAAAACCCGAAAAGUCAUAUUCCCCGUGACACGUCAAAGGACCUUAUUUUGGGAAAAGGAGAUGUUUUUGUCAAAUCGUCAUCUGCUUUGAAGUGCUCUUUGAGAUCCUCAUCCUGAACGGACUUGUUUCAGAUCCAUUAU